rnacentral:rRNA from 1 species
AGUGAACGCUGGCGGUAGGCCUAACACAUGCAAGUCGAACGGCAGCACAGUAAGAGUUUGCUCUUACGGGUGGCGAGUGGCGGACGGGUGAGGAAUACAUCGGAAUCUACUUUUUCGUGGGGGAUAACGUAGGGAAACUUACGCUAAUACCGCAUACGACCUACGGGUGAAAGCAGGGGAUCUUCGGACCUUGCGCGAAUGAAUGAGCCGAUGUCGGAUUGGCUAGUUGGCGGGGUAAAGGCCCACCAAGGCGACGAUCCGUAGCUGGUCUGAGAGGAUGAUCGGCCACACUGGAACUGGAACACGGUCCAGACUCCUACGGGAGGCAGCAGUGGGGAAUAUUGGACAAUGGGCGCAAGCCUGAUCCAGCCAUACCGCGUGGGUGAAAAAGGCCUUCGGGUUGUAAAGCCCUUUUGUUGGGAAAAAAAAGCAGCAGGUUAAUACCCCGCUGUUCUGACGGUACCCAAAGAAUAAGCACCGGCUAACUUCGUG